rnacentral:rRNA from 1 species
ACAAGGCAUACGGCUCAGUAACGCGUAGUCAACCUAACCUAUGGACGGGAAUAACCUCGGGAAACUGAGAAUAAUGCCCGAUAGAACAUUAUGCCUGGAAUGGUUUAUGUUCCAAAUGAUUUAUCGCCGUAGGAUGGGACUGCGGCCUAUCAGUUUGUUGGUGAGGUAAUGGCCCACCAAGACUAUUACAGGCACGGGCUCUGAGAGGAGUAGCCCGGAGAUGGGUACUGAGACACGGACCCAGGCCCUAUGGGGCGCAGCAGGCGAGAAAACUUUGCAAUGUGCGAAAGCACGACAAGGUUAAUCCGAGUGGUUUCUGCUAAAGAAACCUUUUGUCAGUCCUAGAAACACUGAUGAAUAAGGGGUGGGCAAGUUCUGGUGUCAGCCGCCGCGGUAAAACCAGCACCUCAAGUGGUCAGGAUGAUUAUUGGGCCUAAAGCAUCCGUAGCCGGCUCUGUAAGUUUUCGGUUAAAUCUGUACGCUCAACGUACAGGCUGCCGGGAAUACUGCAGAGCUAGGGAGUGGGAGAGGUAGACGGUACUCGGUAGGAAGGGGUAAAAUCCUUUGAUCUAUUGAUGACCACCUGUGGCGAAGGCGGUCUACCAGAACACGUCCGACGGUGAGGGAUGAAAGCUGGGGGAGCAAACCGGAUUAGAUACCCGGGUAGUCCCAGCUGUAAACUAUGCAAACUCAGUGAUGCAUUGGCUUGUGGCCAAUGCAGUGCUGCAGGGAAGCCGUUAAGUUUGCCGCCUGGGAAGUACGUACGCAAGUAUGAAACUUAAAGGAAUUGGCGGGGGAGCACCACAAGGGGUGAAGCCUGCGGUUCAAUUGGAGUCAACGCCGGA